UGGUCUUGAUGUUACUGUUACAUUGAUUGGACCUGAAGUUACAUUGACAGGAGGUCUUGAUGUUGCUGGCACAUUGAUUGGACCUGAAGUUACAUUCACAGGUGGUCUUGAUGUUACUGUUACUUUGAUUGGACCUGAAGUUACAUUGACAGGUGGUCUUGAUGUUACUGUUACAUUGAUUGGACCUGAAGUUACAUUGACAGGAGGUCUUGAUGUUCCUGGCACAUUGAUUGGACCUGAAGUUACAUUGACAGGUGGUCUUGAUGUUGCUGUUACAUUGAUUCGACCUGAAGUUACAUUGACAGGUGGUCUUGAUGUUGCUGGCACAUUGAUUGGACCUGAAGUUACAUUGACAGGUGGUCUUGAUGUUGCUGUCACAAUGACUGUACCUGAAGUUACAUUCACAGGUGGUCUUGAUGUUACUGUUACUUUGAUUGGACCUGAAGUUACAUUGACAGGU
ensembl:lncRNA